rnacentral:rRNA from 1 species
UACAGAGGGUGCGAGCGUUAAUCGGAAUUACUGGGCGUAAAGCGCACGUAGGCGGCUUGGUAUGUCGGGUGUGAAAUCCCCGGGCUCAACCUGGGAACUGACAUCCGAAACUGCCUUGCUAGAGUAUGGGAGAGGGAAGUGGAAUUUCCGGUGUGAGUGGUGGAAUGCGUAGAUAUCGGGAGGAACACCAGUGGCGAAGGCGGUUGCCUGGGGCUUUGCUGACGCUGAGGCGCGAAAGCGUGGGGAGCGAGUCCGG